UACGGGGGGAGCAAGCGUUGUUCGGAUUUACUGGGCGUAAAGGGCGCGUAGGCGGCCACGACAAGUCAGUUGUGAAAUCUCUGGGCUUAACUCAGAACGGUCAACCGAUACUGCGGGGCUAGAGUGCAGAAGGGGCAACUGGAAUUCUCGGUGUAGCGGUGAAAUGCGUAGAUAUUCGGAGGAACACCAGUGGCGAAGGCGACCACCUGGAUCAAUACUGACGCUGAGGUACGAAAGCGUGGGGAGCAAACAGG
rnacentral:rRNA from 1 species